ensembl:lncRNA novel transcript
GGAUACAGUACGGGAUCCUUUCUGGAAUGGAGGUCUUAUGAGCUGCUAUUGAACACGGCAGAGCCUGUUGGUGACCUGCACACAGGAGCCCUCCAGUCAGUACUGAUUGAAUUACUCAAGGCUGCCUCUCUGCAAAGUUGAGGCGGUGGAGAACUACUGAGGACUUCUGAGCAGAGAGGUUGGUGGAAGAGGAAGCACCAAAAAUCCAUCUCAUCACCUAGAGAGCAUUGUACUGGCAGAACUGUCUAAAGUGACUAUUUUGGAACUCUGGGAUCAAUUUGAAUACUUGCAGCUUCCAAAGGAAAGAUGGGCAAUCACAUCUCCAUACCACAGGACACACCCCUUGGAUGCAUCCUCAAGAACUGGGAAAAGUUUGACCCACAAGCUCUAAAAAGGAAAAGGCUAAUUUUUUUUGUCACACAGCCUGGUUCUGAUAUGGACUUGGGGACCAGCAAUCUUGGCCAGAAAAUGGAAGUAUUAAUUUUAAUACUAUCCAUCAACUAGAUUCGUUUUGCUGCCAGCAGGGAAAAUGGACAGAAAUCCCUUAUGCACAGGCUUUCAUGGCCGUAAGAGACAACCCUGACCUUUGUUGGGCUUGUAAAAUGGACCCAGUGAUGAUAGCAGCCAUCACCAGGCAACCUCCUCCAGUAGAUUUGGGAGACCCUUUAUCAGAUUUGCACAGGGCUCAAGCCCCAGAGGAACCAAAGGUGGAAUUUAGUUCAAACAUUGCCUCUUUUAUUCCCAUUAUAUCCAAGUCUCCCAGUCCCAUAGCCUUCCCCUCCCUACCCAGGGCCACCCUCUGGAUACCACCCCCUUAAGUUAUCCCCACUUCAGGAGGUUAGCAGCCCUAUUGGGUCAACUAGAGUCCAGACUCCAUUCACUAUGUAAGACCUGAGCCAGAUUAAAAUGGAGCUAUGGAAGUUUAUGGAAAACCCUGACUAAUGCAUUGAAGGGUUCCAUUAACUAGGCUUAACAUUUGAACUUACUUGGGAGGACUUCACAGUCACACUAGGCCAAACUCUAAGGGAGAACAUGACUCCAUUAUGGAGGCAGCCCAGCAAUUUGCAAGUGCAAUGCACAUGACUGACCCUGGUGGCUACCUUGUGAGGGCCACUGCCCUUCCCCAGGUUGGCCCCCAACUGGGAAUACAAUACCCAGGGGGGUAUAUGGGCAGUGAACCACAUCCCCAUAAUGGGGAUGAAGGAUAGCAGAGGAAAGCCUGUAAACUACAAUAAAUUGGCCUUAAUAGAUCAAGACUCUCUUGAAAAUCCCACUACUUUCUUAGAGAGGCUACAUUAGGCCCAAGUGAAACAUACUAACCUUGACCCAGACACCCCAGAAGGAUGCCUUCUUUUGUAUCCCCAUAGACCCAUCUUCCCAAUUGCUAUUUGCCUUUGAAUGGGAAAAUGAAAAAGGAAGGAGCCAACAGCUCACCUGGACUGUGCUUCUGCAAGGUUUUAGAGAUAGUCCCCAUUUGGUUGGGCAAGCCUUGGCUAAAGAUUUUCAAGACCUGACUCUUGAGGGGGCAGAUGUGUCCUACAGUAUGUGAAUGACCUGCUAAUCUCCUCCCCCACAAGACAACUGGGAAUCCAACAUCUAGUCCAGACACUACAUUUUCUUGCAGACAGAGGGUACAAAGCAUCCAAGGCCAAGGCACAGCUUCUCAGACAAGAGGUCCAAUACGUGGGGAUAAUCCUGAUCCCUCGAGAACAUAAGUUCUCCCCAGAACGGAUACAGGCCAUCCUUAAAAUACCUAUCCCAGCCACCCAAAAUCAGCAUCAGGCCUUUCUAGGGAUCACAGGAUAUUGCAGACUUUAGACUGGGUUAUGGUGGGAUUGUUAAGUCCUUAUAUUAGACUCUAAAAGAAGGGACUGAUAGGGACUCACUUCUCUGGGAAAAAGAUCAGGAGCAAGCCUUUAGGCAGCUAAAGACUGCUCUCUCAUAAGCCCCAGCCCUUGGGCUACCCAUACUAAGCAAACUGUUUUAGCUUUUCAUCACCAAAAGCCAAGGUGUAGCCUUAGGAGUCCUAACUCAAACUGUUGGGUCAAUCAAAUGUCCUGUAGGUUACUUUUUAAAGAACCUAGACCCAGUAGCACACAGGUGGCCACACUGCCUCAAGGUAGUGGCUGCACAAGCCCUCCUACUGGAGGAGGUCCUCAAAAUCACCAUGAUACAAUCAAUCCAGCUCCUGAUGUCCAACAAAUAAGCCCCUUACUGGACAUAAAAGUGCCACAAUGGCUCACUGACAACAGAUUGCUAAAGUAUCAAGUGUUGUUAGAAAUCCCACAGGUAACAGUUGAGUGGUGCUCCACCCUCAUCCCAGCCUCCUUACUGCCAUUACCAGGAGAGGAUGACUCAACACAUUCAUGUUGUGAGAUACUUAACCAAAUUUAUGCCAGAUGGGAAGACUUAAAGGAUCAGCCCUUGGACAAUCUGGUCAAAAUAUGGUUUUCAGAUGGGAGCAGUUUUGUUCAGAAUGAAACUAUAUAUGCAGGGUACACAGAGGCUAAAGCUCUAUCCUUGGGGACCUCAGGACAACUAGCAAAACUCAUCUUUUAACCACAGGCCUAACACUAGGGGAAGGGAAAAGAAUAACCAUUUAUACAGAUUCCAAAUAUGCCUUUUUGGUGCUUCAUGCCCAAGCCACUAUCUGGAAGGAAAGGGAGUACCCAGCAACUUGGGAUACUCCUACUAAGUAGGGGCCCCAAAUCUUAGAGCUACUAGAGGCCAUUCACUUGACCCAGGAGGUGGCAGUAGAGAGGGUUCUGGAAAUGGCAGGCACUCAUUGGGUAAUGGUCAAGCUAUCAUAAAACUGUCCCUCUGAAAUGAGAAGUGGCCAUGACUGGGACCAAGACAGAGAGGAGUUCUGCAACAGAUAGAAAACAUCUGGAGCCAGCAAAUCACAAUUCCCUGAUCAGGUUUUUGUUUGUUUUUGUUUUGUUUUGUUUUGUUUGGGGUGGAGUCUCACUCUGUCACCCAGGCUGGAGUACAGUGGCACGACCUCGGCUCACUGCAACCUCUGCCUCCCGGAUUCAAGUGAUUCUCCUGCCUCAGCCUCCCCAGUAGCUGAGAUUACAGGCACCUGCCACCACACCUGGCUAAUUUUUUAAAAUUUUUAGUAGAGACAAGGUUUUGCCAUGUUGGCCAGGCUGGUCUUGAACUCCUGACCUCAAAUGAUCCACCUGCCUUGGCCUCCCAAAGUGCUGGGCGUGAGCCACCGUGCCCAGCCCCUGAUCUGGUCUUAAGCAUGGGGCAAAAGUAGGGGGGGAAAUGGUGGUGUUUGACUGGUAUAUGACCUUCCUCUGGAGGUGAUCAACCAGUAAGGGAAAAUCGCUCCAAGUGAGCAUGCACACAACCUCAGUAAACACACUGUGCAUGUGGCUUCUCCCAAGUACUAGCAGGCCACUGCACAUGUCACAACUGAGCAACAGCCCACCCCAAUGGAGGGAUCAAGGGAGGAGAAGAAAAACCCCGGAACCAAAAGCCAGUUUAUAAAAAUCCUGAGCCAAAGGCUGAGGGGGGCACUUGAUCUCUCAAGUUCCCUACUUGGCCCUCUUCCAAGUGUGAUUUGCUUCUUUUAAUAAACCUUUGCCUCUGCUUUAAAA